UCAAUUCUACUUUAAUUCUUCUUCGGAAGAUAGUACGGUGGCGGACGGGUGAGUAACGCGUAAAGAAUUUGCCCUUCAGACUGGGACAACUAACCGAAAGGUUAGCUAAUACCGGAUAUUAUGAGACCUUGGCAUCAAGGACUUAUGAAAGCUAUAUGCGCUGGAGGAGAACUUUGCGUCCCAUUAGGUAGUUGGUAGGGUAAUGGCCUACCAAGCCAACGAUGGGUAGCCGGCCUGAGAGGGUGAGC
rnacentral:rRNA from 1 species